rnacentral:rRNA from 1 species
ACCCGCACAAGCGGUGGAUGAUGUGGUUUAAUUCGAUGCAACGCGAAAAACCUUACCCACCUUUGACAUGUACGGAAUCCUUUAGAGAUAGAGGAGUGCUCGAAAGAGAGCCGUAACACAGGUGCUGCAUGGCUGUCGUCAGCUCGUGUCGUGAGAUGUUGGGUUAAGUCCCGCAACGAGCGCAACCCUUGCCAUUAGUUGCUACGAAAGGGCACUCUAAUGGGACUGCCGGUGACAAACCGGAGGAAGGUGGGGAUGACGUUAAGUCCUCAUGGCCCUUAUAGGUGGGGCUACACACGUCAUACAAUGGCUGGUACAAAGGGUUGCCAACCCGCGAGGGGGAGCCAAUCCCAUAAAGCCAGUCGUAGUCCGGAUCGUAGUCUGCAACUCGACUACGUGAAGUCGGAAUCGCUAGUAAUCGUGGAUCAGAAUGUCACGGUGAAUACGUUCCCGGGUCUU